rnacentral:sRNA from 1 species
ACGUCGUCAGGUUUUAGCCCCGUGAGC